GGGGGAAUGAUGUGGAAGUGGAAUAUGAGCUUGUUCAUGUGGUGGAUGACUCGUUGAUGUUGGUGGAGAAAGCCAAUGGAAGAUUAAAUGGUGGAAACAACAUGAUGCCUUCGAUCGACAAGUGGUACAAAAAGCCUUACUUCAGAGAUUCAAUGAGAUUUUGUAGAAGAAGAAGACUCUUCCUGUUUGGCAUCAAAAAGAGGAGUUUUCAAGCUGAUGAAUAUCCAAUCACCGACCAUGCCGUCUCCAUCACCGGCUAUCGCCACCAAAUAAUGGAUUUCAAAGAAGGCAUCAAGAAAGUUUCAGGGGAAUUAACAGGAGGGAAAUUGUUCCAGCUGCAGAGGGUUGUUAUAACUCUAGACUUAAGAAUGUAGCUUGGGGAAGAGAUGCCUUCAAAGUAUCUAUUGUUUCUUUCUGUCCAUACACACCAAAAAAUGCAAGCUGGGAUCAUCUUCCAUACUUUCCUGACGGGUUUUCCGACCUUCCACGAGCUCCAGCUAACCAGUGCAUCUUUAAUGCUACUUGGCAUAACCCAUUUUAGACCAAAACUGAGAUGAAGAUAUUCCUUCCAUAUGCCUGCGGCUGCUGUACAAUGAAGAAGAUGGUGUCUGUUGGUCUCUAGGGCCUGUUGACACAUGAAGCAUCUGUUGACAAUGUGGAUUUUUCUCAUGAUGAGGUCAUCUUCGGUGUGGGAGGUUUCAUGAAGGGCUAGCCAGCUAAAACAAAUCACCUUGGGGGGUAACUUGGUUUUCUAGAUUAGCUUCCAUGGCCAAUUAACUAGCAUUUCAUUUUGAGUACAUAGUGAAUGGUAUGCGGCCUUCACAGAAUAUUCACCAACUGCUUUAUCCCCCUAAAUGAGUCUGUCAGGUGAUUGAUCAUUGAUCUGAACAACACACCUAGUCUCUGCAGCAAACGUCUUGUAGUUCCCAAUUUUGGUAGUUCCUCCGGAAUUGAGGGAUCCAAGCAUUUGGAGAAGAGGAAGACUCAUCAAAAAGAGGAGUUCUCAAGCUGACUAAUAUCCAAUCAUUGGCGACGAUGUCUCCGUCACCGGCUGUUGUCACCAGCUCUCAACAUUGCAUCUCGUUAGUUUCAAUUGUCCUCUGCCUACACAACUGAGCCCCAGCGUCUAGCUCUCAAGAGGCUGGUUGACAUAAGCAUGGAGCCAUUACUCCUCUCUCAUAGCAGUUGACAAAGCCAUGGGUUUGCAUACUCUGCAGGAGUUAUCUGGUGGUGCCCACAGACUUCUUCCUGAAGGUACACAGUUGGAAAUCCUACUUGUCUUGUGGCGAUGAAUCAUUGUGCAAAUUGGAACUUCCAUGAGAACAACAUAGGUGUAUGAGAAGGAUUAGCUGACAGAACUCCUUUACGGAUUAAGGUCCAUGGUUCUGGGUCUAUAAUGUUUGGUGGUAUUUUGAACCAGAGAUGCAAUGUAACAGAUUGAUUUCACCCUCGUCUUUUCUGAUAGUGAAAUGCCAUCCCAUAGACUUCAUACAUCGUUUUCGUGUGGCUUCUGGAAUCCUCUUCUUCAAAAUCAUCCCAUAAUAGAGACUGAAGAAUCUUCUACAUGUUUUAUCAUCAUCCUCCUCAGCUAGCAUUAGCCAUGUAAACCUAGGUAAAUUACUGUUAAAAUUGUCGUUGGUGGCCAUAGAGUGCCACGAUUUGCAGACAAUGCAGAAUCAGAUUUAUACGUCUAACAACUCAAGGUAAAGGUACAAGUCAAAAGAUUUGUUAAGUUUA